rnacentral:rRNA from 1 species
CGUGUGCCUUGGAGUCUCAGAGAGUUUGAUCAUGGCUCAGGAUGAACGCUGGCGGCGUGCUUAACACAUGCAAGUCGAACGGAGUAAUAUGAAGUUUCGGACGGAUUAUUACUAGUGGCGGACGGGUGAGUAACGCGUGGGUAACCUACCUCAUACAGGGGGAUAACAGUUGGAAACGACUGCUAACACCGCAUAACAAGUUGGGACCGCAUGAUCCUAACUUCAAAUAUUUAUAGGUAUGAGAUGGGCCCGCGUCUGAUUAGCUAGUUGGUGGGGUAAUGGCCUACCAAGGCGACGAUCAGUAGCCGGCUUGAGAGAGUGACCGGCCACAUUGGGACUGAGACACGGCCCAAACUCCUACGGGAGGCAGCAGUGGGGAAUAUUGGACAAUGGGGGCAACCCUGAUCCAGCCGACGCCGCGUGAGUGAAGAAGUAUUUCGGUAUGUAAAGCUCUAUCAGCAGGGAAGAUAAUGACAGUACCUGACUAAGAAGCCCCGGCUAACUACGUGCCAGCCGCCGC